ensembl:lncRNA
CUGCUCGACCGGAAACUUGACGCUGUUUGCUUUGCUUUGAGAAUGAGAAUAGGAAUAAAAACUGGAUGCUGUCCACUCAUACCGGAUUUUAAAGGAUAUUACAACAUGAUGUCAAGAAGUUGUUCUGGAGGAAGAAUGCUGAUAAGAUGAGCAGAGAACACAAACAUCUGGACAUCUUCAGCUCAAUUAAAGGUGUUUAUGCUGCAGCUUCAGAUCUGCGUCUCAUCAUCUCGCAGAAGGGCUGGAUUACACUGAUGGAGGCUUUCAAGCAGAAUAUGCUGCCUGUCAAGACGAGACGUCUGGAAGAUGAUGUAGUCAUGAUUCACUGUUGAGUUUAGAUGCUUAGACAAUUUAAUCAGCAAGGC